CGCAAUUCGCUUCUGCUCUGCACUGGAUUGAGACACGCUCACACUUAUCGAUAAACAAUUGGAGGGGUGUCUGGUGCCAGCAGCCGCGGUAAUUCCAGCUCCAAUAGCGUAUAUUAACGUUGUUGCACUUAAAAAGCUCGUAAUUGAAGUGAAGGGUGAACCUUCUGGAUUUUCGUUUGAAUUUCCUGUAGGUUCGCACUCUUUCCAAAUAGUUUGCAUGGGUAUUUACUUAUCUGUGGAUUGCAUUUGGUCAUUUACUGGGAAAAAAUUAUAGUGUUCAAAGCAUACUUUUGUUUGAAUACAUUAACAUGGAAUAAUUCGAAAAGGCUUUCAUGUUCAAUUUGAUUGGUUUGUUCGUGAAGGCAAAAUUAAAAGGGACAGUUGGGGGUAUUCAUAUUCAAUAGUCAAAGGUGAAAUUCUCGGAUUUAUGGAAAAUGAACUAUUGCGAAAGCAUUUACCAAGGAUGUUUUCAUUAACCAAGAACGAAAGUUAGGGGAUCAAACAGGCUUAAAUACCCUCGUAGUCUUAACUAUAAACGAUACCGACUAGGGGUUAGUGAAGGUCAUUUGUCUCUACUAGUACCUUAUGAGAAAUCAAAGUCUUUGGGUUCCGGGGGGAGUAUGGUCGCAAGGCUGAAACUUAACGGAAUUGACGGAAGGGCACCACCAGGAGUGGAGCCUGCGGCUUAAUUUGACUCAUCACGGGGAAACUUACCAGGUCCAGACAUACGAAGGAUAGACCGAUCGAUGCUCUUUCUUGAUUCUCUGGGUGGUGGUGCAUGGGCGCUUCUUAAAUCGGAGGAAUGAUUUGACACGCUAAUUCCCAUAACGAUCGAGAACUCUCGACCUACUAAAUAGAAAGGUUAUAAUUCGUUAUAGCUAUUCUUCUUAGAGGCGACACUAAUACAUCGAUAUUGUAUGGGAAUCUUGGAUGCUACUAACACGGGCUGCUGUAUGACCCUUAUAUGUCCCUGGGGCUGAUACGCCCUGCGACUCUCGAUGAUUCUCAACAGUGUCUGAUUUGGAAGAAUUGUGCGAGUCCUUUUCUGUAAGUCAAUCAUGAUGGGGGAAUGAUGUUUGGUAAUAUCUUCCCGACGUAGUAAUUCUCUAGCUAAUAACU
rnacentral:rRNA from 1 species